CACUCGUGACGAGUGUUCCUUAAUGAAAUUUUACUUCCGCUACAUUUGACCAGCACCUCACUGACGUCAGAAUUUAGCAAUAAUACAGGAUGCUAGUGAUACAAUACUGCCAUUAUUUCAUAAAAAUAUGAUAUCUCAUAUUAAGCAUCCGCCACUAUUAUAAUAUAUAUUCCCCUCUCGCAUAAUACUACCCUUGUUUCAUAUUAUUGCAUAAAAUGUUGACAGUUUCUAUUAAACUUCAGAUUAUCAUAUUAUCAAUGUUUACACAAUGUCUGUAAUCUAACUGAUCAAGUUUGAUUGCUUCUACAUUAUUAUGAGAACGAGAGCGUAUUGCCGUAGCUACAGUUUCUUUUUACUUUUCUAAAUUUACAUGUCCAUAUAGUUCAAGUAGCAGUACGACUACAUAUAUCGAGUCUCAGCAGUUUUGUCUAUAAGCUAGGUUUCACUCAGCACUAUAAUUUAGCAGAAGGUGAUCCACCUGCAUUUAACAAUAAAUCAAUAAUCCAUAUAUUAUAUAUGCAUAAUCUUGCAUUUUGGUAGCGAGAUGUGUAGUUUCAUCAGUGCUUGAUCCUAUAAUUCAAUCAACAGUUCUGAAAUUGACCACUACGCUUUACUUCCACUACAUAAUUUCUCGGGCCCAGCUACGUAUAGAAUUGCCUAACAAUGGUAUUGCGCUGUACUGCCAUGUCAUGAAUAAUUAUCAAGCACCUUGCUCCUUGAUGCAAAAGCAUUGGUCUUUUAUUGUAUUUCACUAUUUCUAUAGCUAUACACAUCUACAGGCAGCCUCUACAGUUACGAUGGCAAAAUAGUGACCUGCAAUCUGUUGGAAUUGUCUAUAGUGAAAAACGGCGCGUGUGCAAUGCUAUUUGAGCGUCCAGACACACCAUGCUGUAUACCACAUCUUCGUCUGCGAGGCAUCUGACCGUCGGUAUUAUUCGACUGAGUUUCCAGCUCGCUAGCCUCGCUGUACUCUAUCAAACCUCGCGACAAAUCCAUUAAGCUCGUUGAAGAGUUUAAAGUACGAUUCGACCUCACAUUGGAAGAUGAAUCAUUGCUAGCGUCAUUGUUAGUACGAAGUUUCCAACCCAUUAAACAAAGCCUUGAAUUGAAUUCUGUUUCAACCAAUAUGAAAUUUAAUUUAUAUUCUUGCUUUUCUGGUUAUGCAUGUAACCACUACAAACUCUAAAGUGUCUCAACUUUAAAGAGAUAACAAUGCCGCUGUUAAUUUAUCAAAGCUUCUUAUAUGUACCCCAAGCAAAUCCGGAGACAUUACGUAUUCGAAACUUAAAUAUGAAAUGAGGGACUUUUUUGAUUUAGGACUUGCCAAGAGUGGUCGCCAUGGUAAUAUGUGGUAUUGACGUCAGCAGCAUCGAAACUAUGCUCCAUCAGCGC